CAGCCGCCGCGGUAAUACGUAGGGGGCAAGCGUUAUCCGGAAUUACUGGGUGUAAAGGGAGCGUAGACGGUUAGACAAGUCUGAAGUGAAAUGCCGGGGCUCAACCCCGGAGCUGCUUUGGGAACUGUAGAACUGGAGUGUCGGAGGGGUAAGCGGAAUUCCCAGUGUAGCGGUGAAAUGCGUAGAUAUUGGGAGGAACACCGGCGGCGAAGGCGGCUUACUGGACGACAACUGACGUUGAGGCGCGAAAGCCAGGGGAGCGAACGGGAUUAGAUACCCCCGUAGUCCCUGUCUCUUAUAC
rnacentral:rRNA from 1 species